rnacentral:lncRNA from 1 species
UUCAAAGUAACUUGAUGAUUUUGCUCUUUGUUUUGCAAAUCUAUUAAAUACAUUGAAUUACACAUGGUCUUGGCAACUUGCCUCACAGAAAAGGAUCUUGGAGCUAUAUCAAAUCUCUUAGAGUCGAUAUGCACUUAGACAUCUUGAUUUUACUCUAUCGGGAGUACUUACUCCAUGUAUUGCUUGACGUAAAACUGAUAGUGGAUUCCUCUCGGAUGAUUUAGGUAGAUAUCCAGGUGAUGCAUCCUAGCGGCUCUAGCCACACUUGAAAAUAAUUCCAAACAACAGAUUCUUCAUCCAUGUUCCGAACCUUUGUGCAUUAGAUUUUUAAUGAGAUUAUUGUCCGUUGUUUCACAGCUAUCAGAACAAGAAGUGACAGAUUUAACCAUAAAAGUUGUAUCUAUGUAUUCAACAUCAAGACUCCAACAUGAUUAGUCCACAUUAUGAAACAGAAGAUAAAUUUAUCCCCAAAGGAAAAACAAAGUUACAAGAUGAUCAUUUAUUGAUCAAAGUCACUGAGGCAACACUUCCAAAACAACACAACAAAGGACAGAUAGCAUUUCUCGGAACACUAACCAUAUGCAUCAG